CUCCGCCACUGCUGUAUCUGAUACUUCCGCGAUUUCUGCUACUUUUGCGAUUUCUGUGACUCCUGCGUUUUCUGCGACUUAGCACCGUAUGAAAAAGUUACAUCUGUCGACACAGAAAACUGCAUCUCAACAAACCUGUCAUUAGCAAGUACCCGAACUACAUUUCAGUCACUCAGUAAAGUGAUAACUCAAAAUAUCAUUGUCAACAGCUCUGCAGAAAUUGCCACUGCUCUUUAGACAGUUUUCGACAGACGAGAGACACAGUUCUGACUGUAAUUACUGGUUGCUGUACAUAUCUAUCCACAUUAAGGCUGUUGAGAGAGACUUGUGAAGAUUGAAGACAGCUCUUAGAGGAUUUGCAGCUUAAAAGUGACAUAAUUGUGAAAUAAGUGUGCAGAUGAGUAAUUAAAGUGUGUUUUGUUGAAGUUGUGCGAUUUUAAAGGAAUAAUAAAUUUCAAAUACAGUGAGUCAAUAAUGAAAAUCUCAUUUUCCACAUGCUAAGCCGUUCUAUACCC